GCCAGGCUGGGCAGGAGGUGAGGCCGAGGGGGCUCCUGGAGGGCGGGAAGGACCCAAGCGGAGGGUUUGGUGCCAAGAGCUGGGGGCAGCAGCGGCGGAGGGGGUGGGCAGGAGGUUGGGAGGUUGGGCUGCAGGCGAGACAGGGUGAAGGUCAGCGAGGAGCUUCCCGGAGCCUCCGGGGGACAAGGCUGCGAUGACCUCCUCCCGGUCCCGGCAGGGGAGGAAUGGGUGGGAUCCGGUCAGAGGGUCAGAGCGAGGGCGGGCCGGAGGCAGGAGUGGGGCAAGUGUGACAUCUUUUCAGGUAAAGUCGUGGCCACUCCCGCUGCGGUGAGACGACCGGAAGGGAAACCGGUGAGAGCGGAGGUGUCUUUUGAAAACAUUUCUGGAACAAGCAGGAGCAGGCCCCGGCGGGCCCCUGGAGGACGGCUUUGGGGGGCCAAGCCAGCAGACGGCCACUAACCUCCUGGGACAACCCCCACCAUCAGCUGCUCACACGGGGCCUGAGUCAGCUCUGGAAUGAACCGGAGUGGUGCUUUAGGACUUGGCCUCUGCUUCAGGGAGUUGACGGUCCUGCCUGGGAAUCUGGGGUUCAUGUCCCUUUGAGGGCAUCUGGAAGGAAAGAGGCCAUGAGCUUCAGAGCAAGAAUGAAGAAGCACAUGGUGGUGGUGUGGGACCUGCACGGAGUACCUCUGUUAGGCCCACCCCUCACAGUCGUGGGGCUCGGGGCAGAAGGACAAAUGGAAGCCCACGUAAGACAUGUCUAGAUAUUUAUUUAUUUAUUUUUAAGAUUUUAUUUAUUUAAUGAGAGACACAGAGAGAGAGAGGCAGAGACACAGGCAGAGGGGAAAGCAGGCUCCAUGCAGGGGGCCUCAUGUGGGACUCGAUCCUGGGACUCCAGGAUCACACUCUGGACUGAAGGAAGCACCAAACUGCUGAGCCCCCCGGGCUGCCCAUCACACGUCUAGAUAUUUAAAAGUUAUAAAUCAAGCUAACAAAAUUAGCCUCCCACGUGGAUAAACGUAUUUUGAGAAUAGCCUGGAAGGUCAGGUUGCAUUAAUUCUUGGACUC
rnacentral:lncRNA from 1 species